GCGCGAGUAGCUCAGCUUGGUUAGAGCGCCACUCUUAUAAGGUGGAUGUCGGGGGUUCAAGUCCCUCCUCGCGCA
rnacentral:tRNA from 1 species